rnacentral:piRNA from 1 species
UAGCAAGUGCUGACAAAAAUGUGGUGACAC